rnacentral:rRNA from 1 species
AAAUGAAUAGACGGGGGCUCACACAAGCGGUGGAGCAUGUUGCUUAAUUCGAAGCAACGCGAAGAACCUUACCUGGGCUUGACAUGCACGGAUUAACCCCUGGAAACAGGGGCCACGCCCGCAAGGGUGGAACGUGCACAGGUGCUGCAUGGCUGUCGUCAGCUCGUGCUGUGAAGUGUCGGGUUAAGUCCCUUAACGAGCGCAACCCUUGUCGCUAGUUGCCAGCGGGUUAUGCCGGGUACUCUAGCGAGACUGCCGGUGUCAAACCGGAGGAAGGUGGGGAUGACGUCAAGUCCUCAUGGCCCAUUUACGCCCAGGGUUGCAAACGUGCUACAAUGGCGCGUACAAAGCGACGCGAAGCCGCGAGGCGGAGCAAAUCGCAAAAAACGCGCCCCAGUUCGGAUUGCAGGCUGCAACUCGCCUGCAUGAAGCCGGAAUCGCUAGUAAUCGUGGAUCAGCUACGCCACGGUGAAUACGUUCCUGAGCCUUGUACACACCGCCCGU